GAUGAACGCUGGCGGCGUGCCUAAUACAUGCAAGUCGAGCGAACAGACGAGGCGCUUGCUCCUCUGACGUUAGCGGCGGACGGGUGAGUAACACGUGGAUAACCUACCUAUAAGACUGGGAUAACUUCGGGAAACCGGAGCUAAUACCGGAUAAUAUAUUGAACCGCAUGGUUCAAUAGUGAAAGACGGUUUUGCUGUCACUUAUAGAUGGAUCCUCGCCGCAUUAGCUAGUUGGUAAGGUAACGGCUUACCAAGGCAACGAUGCGUAGCCGACCUGAGAGGGUGAUCGGCCACACUGGAACUGAGACACGGUCCAGACUCCUACGGGAGGCAGCAGUAGGGAAUCUUCCGCAAUGGGCGAAAGCCUGACGGAGCAACGCCGCGUGAGUGAUGAAGGUCUUCGGAUCGUAAAACUCUGUUAUUAGGGAAGAACAAAUGUGUAAGUAACUAUGCACGUCUUGACGGUACCUAAUCAGAAAGCCACGGCUAACUACGUG
rnacentral:rRNA from 1 species